UACGUAGGUCCCGAGCGUUGUCCGGAUUUAUUGGGCGUAAAGCGAGCGCAGGUGGUUUAUUAAGUCUGGUGUAAAAGGCAGUGGCUCAACCAUUGUAUGCAUUGGAAACUGGUAGACUUGAGUGCAGGAGAGGAGAGUGGAAUUCCAUGUGUAGCGGUGAAAUGCGUAGAUAUAUGGAGGAACACCGGUGGCGAAAGCGGCUCUCUGGCCUGCAACUGACACUGAGGCGCGAAAGCGUGGGGAGCAAACAGG
rnacentral:rRNA from 1 species